rnacentral:lncRNA from 1 species
AUCCAAUUUUGAGAGAUCCGUCUUUGAAAUAAGAACUAUUGCUUGCUGAGGUCCUGGUCUCACAGGCUUUUACUGCCAGGGUCAGCCCAGGAAUGGAGGGAUAUUUGGGAAGGCAGCUUGGGAUGUCAGAGGAGAGAAUAAACUGAAUCCAAGGUGAAGAAAGCACAAUCUUCACUGAGCUUGGAGGAAAGGAAGGCCCUCCAUACAGCCCCUAACUCCCUUUUGGAGCAUUUCCGUGGACAGAUGUAGAUGGAUAGCAUUCCUUCCAAGUCUCCUUCUCCUUUAUUAAACUAUGCUUCAUUAUGUUGGCAUCCUACUUCCAGAUGAUACAGAUAGUACUGUAUAGCCUGCAGUGUGAUAUUAAACACCUCGAUAAAAAUUCGUGCCUUGGUUACACACUGUAAACUCUGCUGAACUCACUCUUUUUUCCCUUGGAUCUGUCCUCCUUUCUCAUUUCUACUGCAUAUUAUUUUCUAGCAGACUGCGUUGGAUUUCAGUCUACACCAUUGUUACAUCUGCACAAGGAAAUUACAGAGAGCCAGGCCCAUGACUAUCCAUGCUGGUUAAUUGUUAACAUGCUUCCUUGCACAAUUUCAAACAUUGAGCAUGGUCCUGGCCACUUCCAGGCAUGGCUCAGAGGAUUACAGAGGUCAGAACGCUCUCCAAAAGGCAACAAGGGCUGGGAGGGUAGUGGGAAGUUUAACUUCAGAGAUGCCAUCCAUGCAACUCACACUUCGGGACAGACAGCGGGCUCUGGUAUGUUUAUUUACUGUUAUAGAAGUAAUGUGUGUGAAUGACAUUUGUCCCACUUUUUUUUUUUUUUUUUUUUUUUCUCUCACUAGUUCACCACUCCCAAAGAAGAAAAGCAAACCUUAGCAAGGCCUUUGUUUCAUCUGCUUCAGGAUCGGAUUUCUUUCUGAAGGGGUGGGCUCUGUGCCUGCCAGCAGCGCAGCAGGGAAUGUUUACUCUGAGACACGAAGAGAUGUUUCCCUUUCUUCUCAUGUGAUUUUUUUUCUAAGGAGGGAGGGUAAAGAAUUCUCUCAAGAAAAGAUCUCAUAAAACAAACACAACUUCUGAAAACGUGUUAAUUUGAGAGUUCUUUUUCUGUUUUAUGAAAAAUCUAUGUGAAAAAUAAAUUGAGGAAAACCACAUCACACGUUACUGCUGCCUAGCUGUCUUCUGUGUCUGCUGGAUCAGCCGUUGCAAAAUGCUUGUCAUUUGCAGUGUCUCAGGCAGGG